CACGGGGGGAGCAAGCGUUGUUCGGAAUUACUGGGCGUAAAGCGCGUGUAGGCUGCUUCGCAAGUCGGGUGUGAAAGCCCUGGGCUCAACCUAGGAAGUGCACUCGAAACUGCGAAGCUUGAGUCCUGGAGAGGAAGGCGGAAUUCUCGGUGUAGAGGUGAAGUUCGUAGAUAUCGAGAGGAACACCGGUGGCGAAGGCGGCCUUCUGGACAGUGACUGACGCUGAGACGCGAAAGCGUGGGGAGCAAACAGG
rnacentral:rRNA from 1 species